UUAAUACUCCCUCCGUUCCUAAAUACAAGUCUUUUUAGAGAUUUUAAGAAAGACUACAUACGGAUGUAUAUUGUAGAGUGUAGAUUCACUCAUUUUGCUCCGUAUGUAGUCCACAUUAGAAUCUCUAGAAAGACUUAUAUUUAGGAACGGAGGGAGUACAUC
rnacentral:pre_miRNA from 1 species